rnacentral:rRNA from 1 species
UGGGGAAUAUUGCACAAUGGGCGAAAGCCUGAUGCAGCAACGCCGCGUGCGGGAUGACGGCCUUCGGGUUGUAAACCGCUUUCAUCCAUGACGAAGCUAACGUGACGGUAGUGGAAGAAGAAGCACCGGCCAACUACGUGCCAGCAGCCGCGGUGAUACGUAGGGUGCAAGCGUUGUCCGGAAUUAUUGGGCGUAAAGAGCUUGUAGGCGGUCAGUCACGUCGGAAGUGAAAACUCAGGGCUCAACCCUGAGCCUGCUUCCGAUACGGGUUGACUAGAGGAAGGUAGGGGAGAACGGAAUUCUUGGUGGAGCGGUGGAAUGCUCAGAUAUCAGGAGGAACACCAGUGGCGAAGGCGGUUCUCUGGACCUUUCCUGACGCUGAGAAGCGAAAGUGUGGGGAGCAAACAG